rnacentral:rRNA from 1 species
UACGUAGGGACCAAGUGUUGUUCGGAUUUACUGGGCGUAAAGGGCGCGUAGGCGGCCAGGUAGGUCUGCUGUGAAAACUCGAGGCUCAACCUCGAGACGUCGGCGGAAACCAUCUGGCUAGAGUCCGGAAGAGGAGAGUGGAAUUCCUGGUGUAGCGGUGAAAUGCGCAGAUAUCAGGAAGAACACCCGUGGCGAAGGCGGCUCUCUGGGACGGUACUGACGCUGAGACGCGAAAGCGUGGGGAGCGAACAGG